rnacentral:rRNA from 1 species
CGUGUAGGCGGGCAUGCAAGUCAGAUGUGAAAUCCCACGGCUCAACUGUGGGCGUGCAUCUGAAACUGUAUGUCUUGAGUGCUGGAGAGGAAAGCGGAAUUCCUAGUGUAGCGGUGAAAUGCGUAGAUAUUAGGAGGAACACCAGUGGCGAAGGCGGCUUUCUGGACAGUAACUGACGCUGAGGCGCGAAAGCGUGGGGAGCAAACAGGAUUAGAUACCCUGGUAGUCC